CUCACAUUUGUGAGGUGUCCCAUCUGUGUCUGCAGGAGUCACCCUGAAGUUGACAGGAAUAUGAGUCAAAUGGCAGAUUCGCUUUGCCCCUGCGUUUUCACAGAAGCCAAUGGUAACAUUCUUGCUGACAUAUUCAUAUCGUCUAUCUCCAUCCCAAAGGUGAUGAGAAGAUCUGACAGAUAGAGACACAUCAGCAGCCAUGCCAACUGGCUGCCAACUUGGACAUAUGUACAGAGAAGAGAGUGUGCUAAAGUUCCUUAUGCAAAGAGCCAAGAGCCCACUGACAUUCACCAAUGACUGAAUAACGUGUCAAUAUCGCUACAGCAUAGUCAAGUUUGGAGUGAGCCAUGUUAAAGGUUCUGGAAAGGAGAAGAUGACCACCUGCGUAGGGCACCACUCUGCCAUGUAUAUGUGCCUCAUUUGGCAUCCACUUUGCAUGUCUGCUGCUGGGCUUCCAUCUGUCCAAUCUCAACGUAGUGUCAGAGAUAAAAACUGAAGACUCCAUGGCUUCAAAAUGCAUUUUUCUGCUGGCUGCCUGAUGGCUGUCUGGGGACAUAAAAUUUAGAAGGCAAUCCUUGCCAACUGACCCUCUUGUAUGAUAUGUAUGUUUUAAUUUUAACUCUGCAGAAUGUCUAUUUAAUCUAAUCAAUCCAUAACUUCAGAAAGAGCUUUGCAAAUUUAAAGAUACAAAAGUAGAAGAAGAUAGUUCAUCAUCUUAUCAUAGAGCCAGAUCACAUGUAACUUUGAGUUAAAACUUGAAAUAUUUUCCCUUUUAGCUAUUGAAUGUGUACCUGGAAAAAUAUAGUAUUAACUGGAAUGCAAUUUAUCUUGUAGUAUAUGCCUAAAUUAUAAUUGAAUCACAACAUCUAAUCUUUU
rnacentral:lncRNA from 1 species